rnacentral:rRNA from 1 species
UACAGGGGGUGCAAACGUUGCUCGGAAUCAUUGGGCGUAAAGCGCACGUAGGCGGUUUGUUAUGUCGGAUGUGAAAGCCCUUGGCUCAACUGAGGAAGUGCAUCCGAAACUGGCAAGCUAGAGUACUAAAGAGGGUCGCGGAAUUCCCGGUGUAGAGGUGAAAUUCGUAGAUAUCAGGAGGAACACCGGUGGCGAAGGCGGGUCUCUGGGCCGAUACUGACGCUGAGGAGCGAAAGCGUGGGGAGCGAACAGG